GCUGUGGGCACUGUGUCUGACUUCACCACUGAAUCCCUGGCACACAGCCAAAACUCAACAACGUUUGCUGAAUAAAUAAGUAGUUGAAAUUAGAUCUUUUGUGCACCUGUUGAUCAAGUUACAGAUUGGAGACAUAAAUGCGAAUUGCAGAAUGAAUUCUCUGACUUUUCCUAAGAGCCUCAGCCUCCCAAAGUGCUGGAAUUACAAGUAUGAGCCACCGUACCUGGCCCCCAGUGGCAUUUUCUGCACAAAUGAAAAAGCCCAUCCUAAAAUUCCUAUUAAAUCUCAAGAGGUUCAGAAUAGCCAAACCAUUUUAUAACAGAAGAACAAAGUUGAAAGACUCACACAUCCUGGUUUCAAAGCCUGCUAGAAACUGACAGUAAUCAAAACAGCGGGAACUGGGAUAAAGACAGACAUAGAGAAAAUGGGAUGGAACAGAGAGCCCAAAAAUAAACUUCCAGGUAAGUAAUCAAAUGCUUUUCAGCAAGAGUGUCAGUAUCACUCAGUGGGAGAGGAGAGUCUUCACCAAAUGGUGCUGGGAAAACUGGAUAACUGCACGCAGGGAAAUAAAGUAGGACCCUCACUUUAUGGAAGAUGCAAAAAUUAGCCAAACAUGGAUUACACUCCUACAUUUAAGAGCUAAAACUAGAAAACUUAUAGAAAAAAACACAGUGGUGGCAAAUCUUCAUCAUCUUGGAUUUCAUAGCAGUUUCUUCGAUAUGACACCAAGCACAGCCAGCGAAAGGAGAAAUAAACUGGACUCGAAGGACACACAGGCCCCU
rnacentral:lncRNA from 1 species